UACGAAGGGGGCUAGCGUUGCUCGGAAUUACUGGGCGUAAAGGGAGCGUAGGCGGAUAGUUUAGUCAGAGGUGAAAGCCCAGGGCUCAACCUUGGAAUUGCCUUUGAUACUGGCUAUCUUGAGUACGGAAGAGGUAUGUGGAACUCCGAGUGUAGAGGUGAAAUUCGUAGAUAUUCGGAAGAACACCAGUGGCGAAGGCGACAUACUGGUCCGUUACUGACGCUGAGGCCCGAAAGCGUGGGGAGCAAACAGG
rnacentral:rRNA from 1 species